UWCGGGAGGCAGCAGUGGGGAAUAUUGGACAAUGGGCGCAAGCCUGAUCCAGCCAUGCCGCGUGUGUGAAGAAGGCCUUCGGGUUGUAAAGCACUUUUGUCCGGAAAGAAAAGCUUCGGGUUAAUAACCCGGAGUUAUGACGGUACCGGAAGAAUAAGCACCGGCUAACUUCGUGCCAGCAGCCGCGGUAAUACGAAGGGUGCAAGCGUUACUCGGAAUUACUGGGCGUAAAGCGUGCGUAGGUGGUUUGUUAAGUCUGAUGUGAAAGCCCUGGGCUCAACCUGGGAACUGCAUUGGAAACUGGCUGACUAGAGUGCGGUAGAGGGGUGUGGAAUUCCCGGUGUAGCAGUGAAAUGCGUAGAUAUCGGGAGGAACAUCUGUGGCGAAGGCGACACCCUGGACCAGCACUGACACUGAGGCACGAAAGCGUGGGGAGCAAACAGGAUUAGAUACCCUGGUAGUCCACGCCCUAAACGAUGCGAACU
rnacentral:rRNA from 1 species